CUGCCGCCUCAGAUUCUUCUCUGGAUAGUUCCCCACCACUCCCUCACAAUCUCCUCCGUUCCCCAUUCUCUCCACCAUAGCCAGCGCUCCCUGGUCAGGCCGCCCCCUCCCCUUCGUCACCAUCGCCGGCGCUCCCUGGUCAGGCUGCCCUCCCCUUCGUCACCAGCGCGGCCGCUCUCUCACACCCCGUAGGUCAAAGGUUGAAUUUUUAUCCGCCGCUGAUGGUGCUGCUGGGCGAGGAGGCGCUGGAUGCGCGUGCGCCGGCGCUGGAUCUGCUCCGUCUGGCUCCGGCGACCUUACCCCGUGGCUCCGGGACAGGAAGGCUACCCCGACGACAUACAGCAACUGGACUCUAUGCACAGCGAGGAGGAUGAAGACACCCAGCCAUGGAUUUUUAGCAGCACUCACUCAAGGAAAAAGAGACCUCAACACGCCAAUGGAUGCAGCCAGCCUCCAACUCACCACGCACCUGCACCAACUUGAUGUAGGGAGAGGAGGAGUGAGGCUUCUCUCACGGGAUGACGCCCAGGCAUGGGGCAGCAACAAUCCAAGGUCAAGCCUCCCUCUACCU